rnacentral:misc_RNA from 1 species
GAUGAAGAACGUAGCGAAAUGCGAUAAGUAAUGUGAAUUGCAGAAUUCAGUGAAUCAUCGAAUCUUUGAACGCACAUUGCGCCCGCCAGUAUUCUGGCGGGCAUGCCUGUUCGAGCGUCAUUACAACCCUCAGGCCCCCGGGCCUGGCGUUGGGGAUCGGCGGAGCCCCCCGUGGGCACACGCCGUCCCCCAAAUACAGUGGCGGUCCCGCCGCAGCUUCCAUCGCGUAGUAGCUAACACCUCGCGACUGGAGAGCGGCGCGGCCACGCCGUAAAACACCCAACUCUUCUGAAGUUGACCUCGAAUCAGGUAGGAAUACCCGCUGAACUUAAGCAUAUCAAUAACGGAGGA